rnacentral:tRNA from 3 species
GGUGGGGUGGCAGAGCGGCUAUGCGCCCGCCUGCAGAGCGGGUAUACAGGGGUUCGAAUCCCCUCCCCACCU